rnacentral:rRNA from 1 species
AUUGAACACUGGCGGCAGGCUUAACACAUGCAAGUCGAACGAGUGGCGGACGGGUGAGUAAUGCUUGGGAAACUAGCUUAUGGAGGGGGAUAACUACGGGAAAAUGUAGCUAAUACCGCGUACCAUAGGAUGAGCCCAAGUGGGAUUGGGUAGUUGGUGAGGUAAAGGCUCCCCAAGCCGACGAUCUCUAGCUGGUCUGAGAGGAUGACCAGCCACACGUGGACUGAGACACGGCCCAGACUCCUACGGGAGGCAACAGUGGGGAAGAUUGCGCAAUGGGGGCAACCUGACGCAGCCAUGCCGCGUGUAUGAAGAAGGCCUUCGGGGUGGAAAGUUCUUUCGGUAGCGAUGCGUUAACUGCAGAAGAAGCACCGGCUAACUACGUGCCAGCCGCCGCGGUAAUUC